rnacentral:rRNA from 1 species
GAUGAACGCUAGCUACAGGCUUAACACAUGCAAGUCGCGGGGCAGCAUGGGGGUUGCUUGCACUCCCCGAUGGCGACCGGCGCACGGGUGAGUAACGCGUAUCCAACCUGCCCUUCACCACGGGAUAACCCGGCGAAAGUCGGACUAAUACCGUAUGUUGUCCAUUGACGGCAUCCGAUUUGGACGAAAGGUUUGGCGGUGAAGGAUGGGGAUGCGUCCGAUUAGCUGGACGGCGGGGUGACGGCCCACCGUGGCGACGAUCGGUAGGGGUUCUGAGAGGAAGGUCCCCCACACUGGAACUGAGACACGGUCCAGACUCCUACGGGAGGCAGCAGUGAGGAAUAUUGGUCAAUGGGCGUAAGCCUGAACCAGCCAAGUAGCGUGCAGGAUGACGGCCCUAUGGGUUGUAAACUGCUUUUAUGCGGGGAUAAAGUGGCCCACGUGUAGGUUUUUGCAGGUACCGCAUGAAUAAGGACCGGCUAAUUCCGUG